rnacentral:lncRNA from 1 species
UUGAGAAACAAAUUUCAUUUAUAAAGUAUUAGUGGCAAUAUUACACCAUUACUAUGAUCUAAGACCAUUACAAAGUGUGGCUUAGAUCUAAGAGAAGUACAAGUUAAUAACAUAUGGUAAAGCAUACAUUCCUUUUAUUUUCCUAUUUUAUAACAAUAUGUACUGCAUUUGCAAAUUAUGGUCUUGGAUAUGUAAAAGCAAUACAUUCCAUGUUUCUAUCGACAAGAUAUAUCAAUUUUCCCAUUAAAUCCUCCACUGAACUUUGAAGAACACAAUCUUUACUUGUUCAAACACUUCUUCAAUUGAUCUUUCAGCAUCAAUCUAUGAAGGGAUUAUAAAACAAAAAAAACAAAAAAACAAAAAUUCAUUGGUUAAAUCAUUAUCAUAACGUAGGAUCAAUAUAUAUCAAAAUUAGAAAUUACAACCAUGGUAAAUAAUAUUAUAAGCAAAAAUAUAUUUGCCUAACAAUUUUUUUAAAUGCAAAGCCAAAUUUUAUUUUUUAUCAUUAUGAAGAAAUACAUCAAUCAUGAAAUAAAUUAAGAAAAAUCCAUAGUAAUGUGAAAACCUUCACCAUUUCUAGUGUAAAGUUGAAUUGGCCAUUUGUAAAGGAGGCGAUAUUGGAAAAUGUUACCUAUCAAGCAAAACAUUAGAAAUGAUAGCAAUUCAUGAAAUAUGAGAAUUGACAACACACCCAAAAUAUUAAUUAAAGGUUGAAUGUUUGAUAUAGGGCUUCUAUUAGUUUGUUAAUAAGUAUAUAUUAGCCAUAAACGAGCUCUUAAGUGAAAUAAAAACUAUGAUCUAUCUAUAUAAACUAUAUAAUUAAAUAAAUAACAUGAUAAAUUCAUGCAGUUGUAGUUUAUAUACAUAUAUAAAUAAUGAGAUUUCCCCAUAUGUAAAAAUUGUUAGAAUCUAUAUGAGAUCAUAUACAUUUGAUUUUGUUCCAUGGUGUUUUCUAAAGCAUUCCAUUGCAAAUUCAACUGAAGAAUCACAAUAGCAACUUCCCAAUUCAACGGUGUUCACGCCAACCCAAAUUUUCUCAUAUAUUUUCCUCGCUUUCCCAACAACCAAACACUAAUUCAAUACAUUAAAAAAAAAAAAAAAAAACUAAACAUAAGAAUCUUAAGUUGGGUUUGGAGUACCUUCUAGGAUGGAGAGAAAAUGGUGGGAAAAGUAAUUGUAAACCCAAUGAGGGUAAGAGAAGGAGUCGUGAUUGACAAUAGUGAUGUCCUUUGUGAUGUGCCAAUAAAGUGGCAAUGCUACUAUGUAGGUGGCCAACCAUAGCCCCAACACCCUCAUAACCGCCUUCAACCACCUCUAGAUGGAUUCAUUAAGAUGUUGAAACAAUGUCAUGAGAUCUUGAGAAGAAGAACAUGAUCUCUACUUAGAAAUGAGGAAUUUGUUGUAGAGAAAAAUGAAGAAGAAUAGGAUCUCACUUUUUAGAGAUACAAAUAGUGUUGUUUUGGAAAAGUCAAUAAGAUUAGACCUG